UUGCGGAAACGGAUGGCCGCUGUUAUUGAUUUAAUAGAGGAAAGUCCGGACUCCUCGGAGGAAGGUGCCAGAUAACGUCUGGCAAUGUUUGGUGAUCUGGUCACAGGCAUCGAAUGUUAGGGAAAGUGCAACAGAAAAUAUACCGCCCUUUGGGUAAGGAUGAAAUGGCGAGGUAAGAGCUCACCGCACUGUCGGUAACGACCGUGGCAGGGCAAACCCCACCUGGAGCAAGAUCAAAUAGGAAUACCUUGUAUGCCCUCCGCAUAUAGCUUAUUUGCCGUUGGGGCGCAUUGCGCUGUAAAACCGAUGAGCAAAAGGCAAAGUUAUUCGGGUAGAUCGCUGGAUGUUCGCGGUGACGCGAGCACAAGAUGAAUGGCCAUCGGAAUAUGAAUAUUCUACAGAAUCCGGCUUAUAGUUUCCGCAAAAAU
rnacentral:RNase_P_RNA from 1 species